rnacentral:rRNA from 1 species
AUGCUGCCGGCUGCCGUCAAGUUCGAUCCCACAGAUCAGGAGCUGAUCGAGCACCUUGAGGCCAAAGUGAGUGCUGACAGCGCGAUAUCUCACCCUCUCAUCGAUUUGUUCAUACCAACCAUCGACAGCGAGCACGACAUAUGCUACACCCAUCCUGAGAAACUUCCAGCAACAUGCCAAAGAUGUUAUGAAAAUGCCAAGGCGUUCAAAAGGGGCAUGUGGACGCAUCGCAAGAUACAGUCGGAGUGCGGCAUGCACGCGAUGUGGCACAACACCUACAAUACCUUGCCGGUGAUGGUCAACGACAGGCAGAUGGGCAGCAAAAAGGUUCUGGUGCUGCACAUCAACAAGAACUUUGACCAGCAGAGGACCAACUGGGUGAUGCACCAGUACCACCUCGGGGACCUGGAGCAAGAGAAGGAGCGGGAGCUGGUCCUCUGCAAGAUUUUCUACUAG